GGCGAUUGUGGCCGCGGGACGGUGGCUGUUGUCGCCAUUUGGAGUGGCGCUGCUUGACAGAGUGUCUGUGAGACUGUAACAGUGUGAGGAAAAUGGCGUGGGACUGUGGAGAGGUUUCGUUGUGGUAAAAAGCCUUUGGAUCACAUCCUGUCUGAAGAAGCACUCAAAGGUAAGACGGAAACCAUCUAUCGCACGAUCAGAGCAACAACUGCAGCGGUUGAUGGACCCGACAUGGAACAGCCAUGUAUCGCACGUUCUCGAUCCCCACAAAGCAUACAAAAGGGAAAAUUGGAUGAUUUCUUCAUCUGAAACUGGCAAUCCUGAAAAUAAAUGUGCAGACGAUGCGCUGAGGAAGAAUGCGCCCUCAUUCUUUUAGACUAAAAACCCAGAAAUCCUAACUUUCAAGGACGAUCCGUCAAUUUCGGGUUUUGUGGAGUCGGAAAAUUGAAGAGUAAGAAGCAGAGGAGGAGAUCGGUGAAGAAAAAUGGAGCGAAAGUAAAGGGAAAAAAUACCCCGCUUCUGUAUGAUUUCUUCAUCUGAAACUUGCAAUCCGAAAAAUAAACGUUAGGAUUUACACAAAUCCUCGAGUAUUUCUUCAACUAUUUACUUCUCUGUCAUUAGGUACCUUCCAUCUCUCUCUCUCUCUCUCUCUCUCUCUCUCUCUCUCAAAUGGGUGAAUGAGGAAGAACUCGCACACACUCUGUCAAAUUUUUUGUAUUUAGAACAAAAACUCUGAAAUCGUUAACCUUGAAGAACCAUUUGGUAAGCAUUUUUCCCGCUACUCUAUGUCAAUUUUUUUGUAUUUUUCUUGGUUUUUGUGGGUCUAUUCAAGUUCUUGACGGACCAGAAGUUUCUGCUAAAUGACUAUCUGGUUUCCAUGUUUGAUGCCGUUUGGUUCCGACUGUUUUGUUUUCUUCUUCUUUCCUGUUUGGUCUGAAUUGUGUUUUCGGAUAGUCUAACAAAUAUUUUUUGGUUAAUUUUGAAGUUUUUUAUAUUUUGAGCCGAGCCCUGGUUUCAUAACUGUAUGAUUUCUUCAUCUGAAACUUGCAAUCCGAAAAAUAAACGUUAGGAUUUACACAAAUCCUCGAGUAUUUCUUCAACUAUUUACUUCUCUGUCAUUAGGAAACUGAGAUUGUAUGAUGCGCUUGAAGACGCGAACAUAAAUGCAACAGAAAGAAGAAGGACAAAUAAAGAAUAGAGGGUAAAUACAUUAGUUCCCUUCGGUACUGUUAGUUGGUACUUUUCUCCUAUUUUUUUUGUUUUUUAUUUUUUUUUAUGGACGAAUACAUAUUCAUUAUUCCUAUAUACAAUCAGAAUAACUAUGUAUUUCGUGUAUCACCAUUCUCUUUGCUUGAAAUCUUAUUUGGAUGCUCCUGCUUAUGUACCAAGUUCUUUCUUAUACGAUGAAUGAUUUCCUAGCCUA